rnacentral:rRNA from 1 species
GAUGAACGCUGGCGGCGUGCCUAAUACAUGCAAGUCGAGCGAACAGAUAAGGAGCUUGCUCCUUUGACGUUAGCGGCGGACGGGUGAGUAACACGUGGGUAACCUACCUAUAAGACUGGGAUAACUUCGGGAAACCGGAGCUAAUACCGGAUAAUAUUUCGAACCGCAUGGUUCGAUAGUGGAAGAUGGUUUUGCUAUCACUUAUAGAUGGACCCGCGCCGUAUUAGCUAGUUGGUAAGGUAACGGCUUACCAAGGCGACGAUACGUAGCCGACCUGAGAGGGGGCUGCGCCAACCGGGACAUGAAACCCGGCCCAGACCCCCAGGGGGGGACGCAGUGGGGAAUCUUCCCCAAUGGGCGAAAGCCUGACGGAGCAACGCCGCGGGGGUGAUCAAGGUCUUCGGAUCGUAAAACUCUUUUAUUAGGGAAGAACAUACGUGUAAGUAACUGUGCCCGUUUGGACGGUCCCUAACCAGAAAGCCCCGCCUAACUCCGG